rnacentral:rRNA from 1 species
UUGAACGCUGGCGGCAUGCUUUACACAUGCAAGUCGAACGGUAACAGGGAGCUUGCUCCGCUGACGAGUGGCGAACGGGUGAGUAAUGCAUCGGAACGUACCCAGUCGUGGGGGAUAACGUAGCGAAAGUUACGCUAAUACCGCAUACGCCCUGAGGGGGAAAGCAGGGGAUCUUCGGACCUUGUGCGAAUGGAGCGGCCGAUGUCAGAUUAGCUAGUUGGUGGGGUAAAGGCCCACCAAGGCGACGAUCUGUAGCGGGUCUGAGAGGAUGAUCCGCCACACUGGGACUGAGACACGGCCCAGACUCCUACGGGAGGCAGCAGUGGGGAAUUUUGGACAAUGGGCGCAAGCCUGAUCCAGCCAUGCCGCGUGCGGGACGAAGGCCUUCGGGUUGUAAACCGCUUUCAGCCGGAAAGAAAUCGUCAAGGCUAAUAUCCUUGAUGGAUGACGGUACCGGAAGAAGAAGCACCGGCUAACUACGU